rnacentral:rRNA from 1 species
CCUACGGGGUGCAGCAGUGAGGAAUAUUGGUCAAUGGCCGGAAGGCUGAACCAGCCAAGCCGCGUGAAGGACGAAGGUGCCAAGCAUUGUAAACUUCUUUUGUCGGGGAGCAAAAGACGCCACGCGUGGCUUUCCGAGAGUACCCGAAGAAAAAGCAUCGGCUAACUCCGUGCCAGCAGCCGCGGUAAUACGGAGGAUGCGAGCGUUAUCCGGAUUUAUUGGGUGUAAAGGGUGCGCAGGCGGAAGUUUAAGUCAGCGGUAAAAUUGAGAGGCUCAACCUCUUCGAGCCGUUGAAACUGGUUUUCUUGAGUGAGUGAGAAGUAUGCGGAAUGCGUGGUGUAGCGGUGAAAUGCAUAGAUAUCACGCAGAACUCCGAUUGCGAAGGCAGCAUACCGGCGCUCAACUGACGCUCAUGCACGAAAGUGUGGGGAUCGAACAGGAUUAGAUACCCGAGUAGUC